ACGCUGGCGGCGUGCCUAAUACAUGCAAGUUGAGCGCUGAAGGUUGGUACUUGUACCAACUGGAUGAGCAGCGAACGGGUGAGUAACGCGUGGGGAAUCUGCCUUUGAGCGGGGGACAACAUUUGGAAACGAAUGCUAAUACCGCAUAAAAACUUUAAACACAAGUUUUAAGUUUGAAAGAUGCAAUUGCAUCACUCAAAGAUGAUCCCGCGUUGUAUUAGCUAGUUGGUGAGGUAAAGGCUCACCAAGGCGAUGAUACAUAGCCGACCUGAGAGGGUGAUCGGCCACAUUGGGACUGAGACACGGCCCAAACUCCUACGGGAGGCAGCAGUAGGGAAUCUUCGGCAAUGGACGAAAGUCUGACCGAGCAACGCCGCGUGAGUGAAGAAGGUUUUCGGAUCGUAAAACUCUGUUGGUAGAGAAGAACGUUGGUGAGAGUGGAAAGCUCAUCAAGUGACGGUAACUACCCAGAAAGGGACGGCUAACUACGUGCCAGCAGCCGCGGUAAUACGUAGGUCCCGAGCGUUGUCCGGAUUUAUUGGGCGUAAAGCGAGCGCAGGUGGUUUAUUAAGUCUGGUGUAAAAGGCAGUGGCUCAACCAUUGUAUGCAUUGGAAACUGGUAGACUUGAGUGCAGGAGAGGAGAGUGGAAUUCCAUGUGUAGCGGUGAAAUGCGUAGAUAUAUGGAGGAACACCGGUGGCGAAAGCGGCUCUCUGGCCUGUAACUGACACUGAGGCUCGAAAGCGUGGGGAGCAAACAGGAUUAGAUACCCUGGUAGUCCACGCCGUAAACGAUGAGUGCUAGAUGUAGGGAGCUAUAAGUUCUCUGUAUCGCAGCUAACGCAAUAAGCACUCCGCC
rnacentral:rRNA from 1 species